rnacentral:rRNA from 1 species
CGUACACUCCUGCGGGAGGCAGCAGUGGGGAAUUUUGGACAAUGGGGGCAACCCUGAUCCAGCAAUGCCGCGUGAGUGAAGAAGGCCUUCGGGUUGUAAAGCUCUUUUGUCAGGGAAGAAACGGUAGUAGCGAAUAACUAUUACUAAUGACGGCACCUGAAGAAUAAGCACCGGCUAACUACGUGCCAGCAGCCGCGGUAAUACGUAGGGUGCAAGCGUUAAUCGGAAUUACUGGGUGUAAAGCGUGCGCAGGCGGUUGUGUAAGUCAGAUGUGAAAUCCCCGGGCUCAACCUGGGAAUUGCAUUUGAGACUGCACGGCUAGAGUGUGUCAGAGGGGGGUAGAAUUCCACGUGUAGCAGUGAAAUGCGUAGAUAUGUGGAGGAAUACCGAUGGCGAAGGCAGCCCCCUGGGAUAACACUGACGCUCAUGCACGAAAGCGUGGGGAGCAAACAGGAUUAGAAACCCGUGUAGUCCCAUG